UUGUUGACUUGGUCAAAAUAGGGUGAUCUAAUUCCAAUUGGAUACCUCAAUUGAUUGUGAGGCUUUUACCUCUAGAUAGCUUAGUAAUAUAGUAGAUGUUCCUCUCAUCAAGUUUUUUCUUUCUUUCCCAAUUCCGCGUGCACUCGUGGUUCUCUCCCCUAUCUUCGGUCUCCGCCUCAUGAGAUCCAUCCUUGCUUCGUCAUGGUUCCUGAUUUGGUGUAUCCAGUGAUGAAAAAGAUGUAAGUUUCCUGUUGCCAGGUCCAACAAGAGAAAAAUUGGACAGAUGUUUCAAAGAUUCCAAAAAGUCAUCGGUCACUUCUGAUUUGGAAAAUUUCCACGAUCUUUCAGACUGAAAACGAAUAGCAUGAAACCGAUGGUUCUAAGCAACUUGCCUCGUUUGGAAAAUUUCCACGAUCUUUCAGACUGAAAACGAAUAGCAUGAAACCGACGGCUGUAAGCAACUUGCCUCGAAUCACUAUCUAAAUACCCUACAACAAGAGGAAAUGAAAAAGAAAAAAAUAACACUAUAUAAGCACAACAAGCUUCUAGCAAGUCUGCAAACCAGCCUUUGUUUGCGUCCCCCUUUGUUUGCGUCCUCUAAACAUGUCGAUCCUCGUAGUCAUGCAGUUUUUCAUGGUUGCCUCCCUUUGCCUCCCGUGUUCGGCCAACACCAUGCAUGCAGCCACCUUGUCCGCUGCUGAAAUUUCCACAACAAGCGCCACUGACCACCAAGCGCUCAUGUCAUUGAGAUCUAUGAUCAAAGAAGAUCCGUUCCAAGCACUGAAUUCAUGGGAAAACCAGUCAAUCCCUAUGUGCCAAUGGCGCGGAGUGGCCUGUGGCACGCGCGGCCACCCCCGUGGCCGUGUCGUAGCACUGGAUCUUCAUGGGCUCAACCUUCUUGGCACCAUUUCCUCUUCCAUAGGUAAUCUAACUUACCUCAGGCAUUUUGGCCUCCAAGAGAACCGCUUUUAUGGUACCAUACCAACAGAGGUUGGGCAUCUUGUACAACUCAAGUAUCUGAACGUCAGCAGGAACUCCAUCGGCAGGGAGAUCCCGCCGACACUGGCCACUUGUGUUCAGCUUCGAGUUAUUGAUUUGAGGCACAACAUGCAUAAAGGCUCAGUGCCUCAGGAGUUGGCAUCCCUGGAUAAUCUUGAGGUACUGGCUCUUGGGUACAACAACCUUACAGGAAGUAUUCCUGUGGAAAUUGGAAACCUGAAAGCCCUGAAGUAUCUUCAUCUGAGAGCAAACCUGCUAGUAGGAGAAAUACCAGUGGAGGUUGGAAAUCUUAGAAACUUGACCGAUUUAUAUCUUAAUUUCAAUGGUCUGUCAGGUUCUGUUCCUGCAUCUCUUGGAGGCCUCCAGAAAUUGCAGAUUCUGUAUCUAUCGGGAAACCAGCUCUCAGGGCUGAUUCCACCUUCCCUAGGAAACCUCUCAUCUCUACUAGUUCUAGAUGUCCAAAAAAAUGGCCUAACUGGAAGCAUCCCUGAAUCGUUAGGAAAUCUGAAUCUCCUCAACGUCCUUUCUCUCACAUCUAAUAGUUUUACAGGCUCAAUCCCUCACACUCUUGGAAAACUAAGUUCUCUCGUUGAGUUUUAUCUGAAUGGGAAUCAACUCGAGGGUUCUAUACCACCUUCUGUCUAUAAUCUUUCAUCCCUCCAAUAUUUUGUCGUGGAAGUCAACAACCUCAGUGGAUCUGUUUCAGAUGACUUGGGUAAUAAGUUUCCACAACUCAAGCAACUUAGCAUAGGCCAUAAUCAAUUUCAUGGGUCCAUCCCAGAGUCUUUGUGCAAUGCUUCAAUGCUUGAAAUCGUUCAAUUGGGUCACACCUUUCUUUCCGGCGUAAUACCAAAAUGUCUUGGAGCUAUGAAGAGCUUAUUGGUAUUGUUUCUCCAAUCUGGUCAGCUAGAGGCAAGGAAUGACGCUGAUUGGGACUUCAUUUCUAGCCUGACAAAUUGUAGUAUGCUGCAGUACCUAGAUCUAGGCAAUAACAAACUAGAAGGGGUGCUACCAAAUUCAAUAGCAAAUCUUUCCACAAACUUAAUAAUUCUCGGCUUGGCAAACAACAUGCUACAGGGAAAUAUACCUGAAGGAAUUGGAAACCUUGUCAACUUGCAAUACUUGCACUUGGAAGAUAAUUUGCUACAUGGAAAAAUUCCUGAGUCGAUUGGCAACCUUGCAAUCCUGGGUGAACUAUACUUGUCAAACAACAGUUUAUCUGGACCAAUUCCACCAAAACUUGGAAAUCUCACAGCAUUAAACAGACUCGUCCUCGCCCAAAAUGUGCUUACUGGCCCCAUACCAUCCAGCCUUAGAAGCUGUCCAUUGGAGACACUAAGCCUACAAUUCAAUAAGCUUGUUGGUCCUAUACCAAAAGAGAUUUUCCUCAUAUCCUGGGUGAACUAUACUAGUUAACUGGGACGUUUUCUCCAGACGUUGGUAAUCUAGUGAGUCUUGGAUAUCUGGAUUUGUCUGGCAACAGGAUAUCUGGCUUAAUUCCUGCUUCUCUAGCUCAGUUUGGAAGUUUGCAGUAUCUCAGUAUGGAAGGAAACCUACUUCAGGGAACAAUUCCAGCAUCAAUGUCACAGAUGAAAGGCCUUCUAGUUCUUGAUGUUUCAAGAAACAACUUGUCCGGGGACAUCCCAGUCUUCCUCGCGGACAUGCAUGGGCUCGUUACCCUGAACAUGCCAUUCAACAAUUUUGAGGGUGAAGUUCCAAAACGUGGAUUAUUUCUGAAUGCAAGUGCAGCUCUCAUUGAAGGGAACUAUGGCUUAUGUGGAGGUAUACCACAAUUCAACUCGCAUACCUGCUCAAAUCAUACACCCAAGAAGUGGUCUCACAAGCUUGUCAUGUUGAUCUCAGUAGGCAGCGCAGUUUUUUGCAUCAUCUUAGUACUAUUUGCACUAUUUGCACGACGGAAAUUGAGAACCAAAUUUACAAAGACAAGACAGGUUCCAUCACUCCAUAGUGGACAGCAUAUGAGGGUUACCUAUGCUGAAUUAGUGAGAGCGACAAGUGGUUUUGCUUCUGAGAGCCUCGUAGGCAGAGGAAGCUUCGGCUCUGUGUACAAAGGAACAAUGAUGAAUGGAGAUCAGGAAGUGAUUGUCGCUGUGAAGGUGCUCAACCUCCAGCAGCGAGGGGCAUCUCAAAGCUUUGUUGCUGAAUGUGAGACUUUAAGAUGCAUCAGACAUCGAAACCUUGUGAAGAUAUUGACUGUCUGCUCAAGUAUUGAUUUCAGGGGUCUAGACUUCAAAGCUCUCAUAUUUGAGUUCAUGCCAAAUGGAAAUCUUGAUCAAAAGCUACACAGCCGUCUCCUGGAAGAUGGGAGGCAUGGGGUGCUCAGUCUCACCCAAAGGAUAGACAUUGCCAUUGAUGUAGCUUCAGCACUCGAAUACCUUCACCACAAUAAGCCAGUGCCAAUAGUUCAUUGUGAUCUUAAGCCAAGCAAUAUUCUCCUCGAUAAUGACAAGGUUGCCCAUGUGGGUGACUUUGGACUUGCAAGGUUCUUGCACCAGGAUGAUACUAGCCUCCCAGAGAUAUCAAGUGGCUGGGCUACAAGAAUGGGAACAAUUGGAUAUGCUGCCCCAGGUUUGCCAUUAACCACUGAUGUUCAUCUUUUAUGUACCAAUUUCUCAUUCGAAACUAAUUUCACAUACAUUUCUUUUCCAGAGUACGGUCAAGGAAAUGAAGCCUCGGUCUAUGGUGAUACCUAUAGCUACGGAAUACUGUUGUUAGAGUUGCUCACUGGUAAAAGGCCAACUGAUGGUGAGUUUCUGCAAGAUCUAAACUUACAUAGCUACGUCGAGAUAGCACUUAGAGACCAAGCCACCAACCUGGUCGAUCUGUGCUUAUUAUCUUCACUGGAGGAAGGGACAAAAAUGCGAGCUGCAUGCAUCAAUUCAGUUCUGCACAUUGGGAUAUUAUGUUCGAAGGAACUGCCAACUGAUCGCAUGCAGAUUGGGGAUGCUACGAGAGAGCUACUGGCGAUCAGAGAUAAGUAUCGCAUGCACCUAUUGAGUAAAGGUGGGUCCAUCUAAAUGCUUGAUGGCGCUCGCUUCAUUGUGAUCAGUAUUCAUCAUAGUACAUCAAAACAGAAGGUGGUGCAAGCUUUGUUGCUGCAAUUCACUAGCCAACUAAUAUGCAUGCCUUCUGAAUGGAAUUUCAACAUGAUAUGGUAAUGGUUUGUGAAGGAUGGGAGCCGCACAAUGCAAUGUAUCUAAGUCAUCGGGCCACCAAAAAUUCUAGUUAGAACUUAUAGUGUAAUUGGGAUCUUCUUUAUGUUAAUAUAUUUAUUAUCGAGAAAAACACAUCAUGUUUUCUCCGUUCCUAUCUUGAGGCAAAUUUUUGGUAGUUACUGGAGAAGUAAGAAUAUUGUGUUAUCAUUGAAGGGAGACUUGAAAUUUGUUUUGAAAUUUUGAUGUUGUAGCUGGAUUUUAAGUAUCAGAAAUUCU